rnacentral:rRNA from 1 species
CAGUCGCCACGGUAAUACGAAGGGUGCAAGCGUUAAUCGGAAUUACUGGGCGUAAAGCGUGCGUAGGCGGUUUGUUAAGUCUGUUGUGAAAUCCCCGGGCUCAACCUGGGAAUGGCAAUGGAUACUGGCAAGCUAGAGUGUGUCAGAGGAUGGUGGAAUUCCCGGUGUAGCGGUGAAAUGCGUAGAGAUCGGGAGGAACAUCAGUGGCGAAGGCGGCCAUCUGGGACAACACUGACGCUGAGGCACGAAAGCGUGGGGAGCAAACAGGAUUAGAUACCCGGGUAGUCCCUGUCUCUUAUAC